CUUGGGUUAACUCACACAACUAGCGUGAUUCAAAUUGCUUACCACUAAAUAUCUGUAAAUAUCUGUUCCUUACAGAAAGGCGCUGAGAUUCCAUUCACCCUUUUCUAUUGCUUUGCCAUCCUCACAAAAGAACGUCCUGAAUACCAAAUAAUCCAUGAAGUGUGUUUAAGCACAGUAUUACUGGAACAAGAUUGCUGCAUCAUUUGUGAACUUUCCCAUGGGGAAACAAAAAGGCAAAGCUGCAAUAAAUCUCCAGGUUUAAAGUCAAAAAAAUCCUGAGCCCAAAAGCUGCGAUCUCCAAAUGAAACAAGAUAAAGGGCACUGUUGUUUUUUGGACUCCCAUGAAGCUCUACCAUGCUUUCUACAUUCUGCUGUCACAAAAAGGACAAGAUUCAGCUCAUCCAUAUGUCAGUGCCUACAAUACAGCUACCUAUAUCACAGCAGGUUGUCUGAGGUACCAUUUAGUCAACUCUGUCAAAGAGGACAGCUAUUGAAUCAGCUCAUUCCAAAAAGGCACUUACAUCUCAUCAUACAAAUCACACCUUAACUCUCCUAAAUUCAUUGAGCCUGUCUUAUCUGGCUGCAGUGAGAGUUCAGGAUGACAAGCUUGGGUCAGACAUCGCUACCCAACCUAGAUUUCAGCAAGAUGAAUUGUAUCUGAAAUACUUGAUACUGGUGAUGA